rnacentral:rRNA from 1 species
ACUAGGAUUAGAUACCCUACUAUGCUUAAGCACAACUAAGACUCUGUCCGCCAGAAAAUUACGAGCGAAAGCCUAAAACUCAAAAGACUUGACGGUGUCCCAACCUUCCUAGAGGAGCCUGUUCCAUAAUCGACAACCCACGAUACACCUAACCACCUUUAGAACAACAUCAGCCUAUAUACCGCCGUCGCACAGUCUACCUUUUAAAAGCAUACAAGUAGACUAAAUAGUAAUAUACUAACAAGUCAGGUCAAGGUGUAGCUUAUAUGGUGGAGGCAAUGGGCUACAUUGUUUAUAAUAAACCACACGAACUUACACUUCUUCACUGAAAAAGAAAAUGAAGGCGGAUUUAACAGUAAUUUAAACAAGACUAUUUAAAUUAACACCAGCUCUGGG